GUAACAACACAAGUUUUUCCACUUUUGCUAAAAUUCGGAAUUUAAAAUUUACAGCAAUAGCUAAAAUCUAAUAUCUGACAAGUUUCUCAACUUCUACUAAAAAUCAGAAUCUAAAAUCUGCAUUAGAAUUUAAAAGUAAAAUCUAAAAUCUGUAUCCACUUCUCUCGCAAACACGCCCUAAUUUUGACACUCCUCUUAUAUGCAUCUUCCUAUCUUUUUGUUGUGAAAAUUCAAUGUUAUUUUUGUUAUUUAGAAGAUAAUGUAAUGAAUAAUGUUGAAGAUAAAAUACAUUAAAAAACCAAACGAAAAUGGGUUACGAGAACAUUAAUAAUUUUAUGUUCGAAUCAUAUCAUAUGAUUGCGCCCUACACCCCUAUAGUACACCCCUGCACCUCAGGGUCUCGGUUCCUCUUUAUACUCCCUUGUUCCCGAAAUGUAGUGGCAGUGUUUAAUUGUACCUGAAUGAUGCAUGCAACAUAUAUGAUGGGCUAACCCACAUAAUAGCCUUAACAAGGUCCCCAAUCUCUAUUGGACUUUGGAAAGACACUGCCAAUUGAAUUUGCAAAAAAUAAGAAUAUAUGGCCACAAUAUUACUGCAUAAAAAGUCAAUCAAAAAGCUUCUCCCUUGCAUGCUUCCAACCUUAGAAGAAAAAGUUGAUGAACUUAUUAAGUAACAUAUACUAUGUCAACAAAAAUUGAUACAAAGUGCUAGCUCUUGGUAUCCUCUCUAGACCUUGUCCAAGUCAGCUAGCCCUAGUUGGACUAUCUAACAAAAUUUACAUGAAUUUUGAGAGAGAGAGAGAGAGAGAGAGAGAGAGAGAGAGAGAGAGAGAGAGAGAGAGAGAGAGAGAGAGAGAGAGAGAUUUUAUUAUCCUUCCAAAAAUGGGGGCCAGGGGAAUGGCCAUUUUACAGUGUAGCAGCCAGAGCAACAACAAACUGUGAAACUACCAUGAA